rnacentral:rRNA from 1 species
GUAAUGUCUGGGAAACUGCCUGAUGGAGGGGGAUAACUACUGGAAACGGUGGCUAAUACCGCAUAACGUCGCAAGACCAAAGAGGGGGACCUUCGGGCCUCUUGCCAUCAGAUGUGCCCAGAUGGGAUUAGCUUGUUGGUGAGGUAACGGCUCACCAAGGCGACGAUCCCUAGCUGGUCUGAGAGGAUGACCAGCCACACUGGAACUGAGACACGGUCCAGACUCCUACGGGAGGCAGCAGUGGGGAAUAUUGCACAAUGGGCGCAAGCCUGAUGCAGCCAUGCCGCGUGUAUGAAGAAGGCCUUCGGGUUGUAAAGUACUUUCAGCGGGGAGGAAGGUGUUGUGGUUAAUAACCACAGCAAUUGACGUUACCCGCAGAAGAAGCACCGGCUAACUCCGUGCCAGCAGCCGCGGUAAUACGGAGGGUGCAAGCGUUAAUCGGAAUUACUGGGCGUAAAGCGCACGCAGGCGGUCUGUCAAGUCGGAUGUGAAAUCCCCGGGCUCAACCUGGGAACUGCAUUCGAAACUGGCAGGCUUGAGUCUUGUAGAGGGGGGUAGAAUUCCAGGUGUAGCGGUGAAAUGCGUAGAGAUCUGGAGGAAUACCGGUGGCGAAGGCGGCCCCCUGGACAAAGACUGACGCUCAGGUGCGAAAGCGUGGGGAGCAAACAGGAUUAGAUACCCUGGUAGUCCACGCCGUAAACGAUGUCUACUUGGAGGUUGUGCCCUUGAGGCGUGGCUUCCGGAGCUAACGCGUUAAGUAGACCGCCUGGGGAGUACGGCCGCAAGGUUAAAACUCAAAUGAAUUGACGGGGGCCCGCACAAGCGGUGGAGCAUGUGGUUUAAUUCGAUGCAACGCGAAGAACCUUACCUGGUCUUGACAUCCACAGAACUUUCCAGAGAUGGAUUGGUGCCUUCGGGAACUGUGAGACAGGUGCUGCAUGGCUGUCGUCAGCUCGUGUUGUGAAAUGUUGGGUUAAGUCCCGCAACGAGCGCAAC